ensembl:lncRNA
UUUAAGAGAAAGUGUUUAUUGAAAGAAACAAUUACAUGAGGAAGAGUAAACAUUUUAAAGCGUUAAAAUUGUUCGUAACGGAGGACAGAAGUUUUGCAAACAGACGCCGUUGGCUCAGCUUGAUGAAUCAAUAUUAAAUGAGUGAAUUACUGCAGUUAAUGAAAAGGUUUUACGGGUUACAAAUAGUUGCGUGAUGUAGUUUGUACAUAAAUCUGAGUUCUAGUCCCUGAGCCUCAAAACUAUUUUCACAAUGUGAUGACAUGCAUAGUUUAAGUGUGACGUUUGUGGACGUCCGUCCAGCAGAAACGCAGCUCCGUGUUUACGACUUGUCGAGGUGAAGUGACAAAAUUCAGUGUCCUGCUUCCGAAGAAUGAAGCUUCUGUCAAGUGUAAAGCAAAAGACAAUUAAAGCGUUUGGGAGUUUUUAUUGUCUCACACGUGUUAGUUCUCAGAACAGAUAAGUAAGUAUUUCAUCCCAGAGCCUUUAACAGAUGCAUAGUUAAUGGUUUUAAGGAAACAGUGUGAAAACAAACAUUUCACAGCUUACUAAAAAAGUAAAAACACGAGUUUCUCCCUCGAGACGAAACAUACUUUUUCGCCUCUUCACUACAAAUACAUGAACUAUCCAUUUAUAAACCAACAGAAGAUGAUUCAAAGACCUUGUCUGUUUCACAGCUUUUCCCUUAACGCACAUCCUAAACGGAGGACACCUUUAACGACAGUAAGAUAUUCAGCGCUUCCGUUCGUCACCGCUUAGUUUGCAUGGGAUGCAGAUGGCAUUUGUUUUAUUAAAUGCUGCAGCGUAGCAGCAAUCCCUGAAGGGCGGAACAUCCAACCCUGAAUAACCUUUGAUUGAAAAUGUCUUUGCAGCCCCAAAUACCAAGCUGCUCCACGUUUCCAUAGCAACCGCAAACGGAUGCCGCUAAAUAAGUCACCGCUAAAUGCAUCCAGAAAUGUAUUAUAUUGAAAUUGAUCAGUACGGGCCUCAAAAAUGACUUUGGCAAUACGAGGAAGCUCGAAAUGCAUCUUCUUCCCACCGCAGCAGCUCUGCUUCGAGAUAAAAACGCAGAGGAAGCUUUAAAAAGGAGACGACAGUGAAACGGGACCGUAAACAUUGUGUCCUUUAGGAAUAUACUUUUAUGAGAACAGUUAUUAUUUCAGGUGUAAAGGCACAAACAUGAAGGAGAUUGUCUUGUUUCGGGGUUUUCAGGUCCAGCAGCGACGGGUCAGAGGAAUCCUGGGGGAGAAAACAGAAUCCCAAUAAGUCUUUGAGGGGAAACGGAUUCUUUGCUUCCGUCAAAAUAAGACAAAGCAAGACGGGAACUUCAGCUUUUACCAUUUAAACAACUCCUUCGAGGUAAAGAAAGAUAUAGAUUUUUUUACACUAUAGGUUACAUGAUCAAUUUCCAAAUAGAAUAAAAAAAAAUUUUUAACUUCAUAAAGAAGAAACAUAACUUACCGAGAUUUGCUCAGAGAUCGUCUGAGGCGAUUUUUAUCUUUUUGGGGGUUUUCUUUUUCUGGAAGGAUCAAAAAAGAAGAAAUUUAGUCGUGAAUCCAAACAACGUAACGGAAGAAGAGGCGAAGCGUGGGUAGAAGGUCGCGUCGGUUGCCAUGGAGACACGUCUCACCUUCGCAGCGGGAGGAGUUUGUUCCUCUGCAGCCGGUUCCGUCUCCUCCGACCGGUUCCUCUCUGCAAAUCAGAAUUCAAACAUGAAGCCUGAAGCUGUUCUUCCCGUUCGUGUCCGCUAAGCGAUUCCUUUGGUUUAAUGGAUUCUUUAAUUGCUAAAAAUUAAUAUGUUUAACAGCGAGAAAGUGUCUCACUCUUUUUCUUUGCAGAAGUGACGGGCAUGGGGCUGUCAGUCGUCUCCUCGCCUUCUUCAGCCAUGAUCAUCAUCUUCUUCUUCUUCUUGCCUUCCUUUGGAAGUGGAGUCGAUGCCGUCUCAGGAGGUCCGGAGCUCUCCUCCUUUUCCUCCUCCUCCUCUGUUUGCUUCUUCUUUUUCUUCUUCGGCGGUUGGUUUUCCUUUGAGGAAUUCUCUUCUUGCUCUCCGUUCAUUUUAAUCAUCUUCUUCUUCUUCUUUGGUGUGUCGUCGCUCUUCUGGGCGGGGUCACCUUGGGGCGUCUCCUCCGCGGUCGCCUUUUGUCUGCAAGAAUGAUUGAUGUUACUUGUGAUUAAUGAUUGUGAUUUACAAUGAAGGUAUUGCUGAUGUAACUAUACUUGUUAAAUGUUUGACUCUAAUCUAAAUAUAUUUUGUGUUUAUUCCACAUUGAUCUAAUUAUUAUAAAUUGCUUAAAUAUAUUUAUGCAUUUUUUACAGUUACAUUAUUUAUAUGCACGUAUUUUAAGACCAUAAAGAGGCCAAAGAAAACCUCUGACCUCAUCUUCAUUAUCUUUUUUCUACGGUGUUGCAACCUUUUCACGAGGCUGUGUUUCUUCCUGAAACGGCGAUUCUUAGUCGAUGAGCUUGCAUCUAUAAGAAGAAAAAAAAGAAGUAGUAAAAAGUACAAAUCAUUGAACUUCAAAUUGUAAGCGCAGUGAAAGAAGAAGGUAUUCGGUUGCGUUGUUUGUAAACAGUCUUGUGUUCAUUUUGCAUGCAUUGUUUGUGAGGAAUAUCUUUAUUUUCAUUAUUACCGUAACAUUACUACUAUAGAUUUUAACAACCAUACUUUAUGUCAGCCUGGACAUUUAAUCUGAAAAAGGACUAAAGACGGAGUAGAAAUAAGAGUUUGACAGGUGGGAGACACCGACUACCUGUGGACUCCUGAUCCUUGUCUGUGUCUGUGUUGCCCCCUGCUGGUGUUUCCUUAGACGGUUUCUUCUUCUUUGUCUUGGCUGGACUCGAGGACAAGCUGCACUCCACUUCUACGGCCUCGCUCUUCUCUUCUGUUACCUUCUUCUUCUUCUUUUUGAUUUUCUUCUCUGAAGGCGUGACCUCUUCCUUCUCCUCCGCUACCUCUUGCUCCAUCUUCCUUUUCUUAGCCUUCUUCUUCUUCUUCUUCUCCUCCUCCGGUGAAGUGGCCAAAGAGGCAUCCGCCUCCUCUAUCGUCUGAUCUGCCUCCUCCUUUUCUUCCGUCUGCUUCCCCUCGGCCCUCCGUUUGUCUCUCUUCAUCUUUUUGGCGGUCUUGGCGGCGAGAGGAGCGUCGCUGGGUGCGUCUACGGUGGACGAGUCGGUGCUCGGUGCCUCCGCCUCCUCUUUGCUCUUCUUUUUCUUCUUCUUCUUCGAGGGGGUUUUGGAAAGGUCUUCCUCGGGGGGCGGCUGGCUGGAUCGUGGCUGGGUCGGGUCGGUGUCCUCGAUGUUGAGGACGAUGGAGACUUCAGGGUCUCCGGAGGCCGUCACCAUUUCUGCAACAGGACACAGAAACACUUACCAAGUUGUAGCAAACCGAAGUCAACUUUAAAAAAAUUAAACACAAUUUGAGAAAUUGUUGCUAAUGAAAUAGCUGAGUAGCUAGUAACCACUAGCCUACUUUGACUAGUAACCACUAGGCUACUGUGACUAGUAACCCCUAGUAACCACUGGGAUACUGUGACUAGUAACCCCUAGUAACCACUAGGCUCCUGUGACUGGUAACCCCUAGUAACCACUGGGCUCCUGUGACUGGUAACCCCUAGUAACCACUGGGCUCCUGUGACUGGUAACCCCUAGUAACCACUGGGAUCAUGUGACUGGUAACCCCUAGUAACCAGUGGGCUACUGUGACUAGUAACCAGUGGGCUACUGUGACUAGUAACCAGUGGGCUACUGUGACUGGUAACCAGGAGGCUACUGUGACUGGUAACCCCUAGUAACCACUGGGCUACUGUGACUCGUAACCCCUAGUAACCACUGGGCUACUGUGACU